AGUGAACGCUGGCGGUAGGCCUAACACAUGCAAGUCGAACGGCAGCACAGUAAGAGCUUGCUCUUACGGGUGGCGAGUGGCGGACGGGUGAGGAAUACAUCGGAAUCUACUUUUUCGUGGGGGAUAACGUAGGGAAACUUACGCUAAUACCGCAUACGACCUACGGGUGAAAGCAGGGGAUCUUCGGACCUUGCGCGAUUGAACGAGCCGAUGUCGGAUUAGCUAGUUGGCGGGGUAAAGGCCCACCAAGGCGACGAUCCGUAGCUGGUCUGAGAGGAUGAUAAGCCACACUGGAACUGAGACACGGUCCAGACUCCUACGGGAGGCAGCAGUGGGGAAUAUUGGACAAUGGGCGCAAGCCUGAUCCAGCCAUACCGCGUGGGUGAAGAAGGCCUUCGGGUUGUAAAGCCCUUUUGUUGGGAAAGAAAAGCAGCAGGUUAAUACCCCGCUGUUCUGACGGUACCCAAAGAAUAAGCACCGGCUAACUUCGUG
rnacentral:rRNA from 1 species